UGAAACCAAAUCUGAUCAAAAGAGAAAGUGUUCAUAUUUAUCAAGGAACUGUAUUUGUCACAGAAGUUCUGGUGAAAAAAGAAAAAUGUUUUAUUGUUGUGUUAAGAUAAGGAAUGAGGACAUGUCAGCAGAACUGGCACCAUCCCAUGGGAUGUAUCUGUUUGCAGCAGCAGGCAUUUCCCUCACAGCUGCCUUUCAGCAGAAAGUCCUUGACCAGCUGUAGGAGAAAGUGAGCUCCAGCCAAUGCCCUGUGCGAUCAUUCAAACGAUUUCCCCCAGGGCACUGCAGGAUUUAAGAGAAGAGGUGAAUGAUACGUAGACGUGGACAGACACAAAGAUGCAGAAGAGGCUGCUCUCCAUGAGGAGACGGCCUCACCAUGAUCUUUGCAGCCACCACUGCAGAGAGCAUCACCGUGGGCAGGUCUCAGAGAGGAUGAUGAGAUGCCAGUGGGAGCUGAUUUACUGUGGAUUUAUUCAAACAAAAAGGGCCAGCUCUUCAGGAAGAACAGAUACAUCAGCCAAAAUGAUCCAUCUAUUUUCAGCUUUAUUUCAGAGCAGCUUUCAGUGGGCGCCGGUAAGUAGAUCCUGGCUGAAGUUAAACACAGCAAACCCACCCUGUGAGCUCGGGGUGCUGCUCACCUUGCUCUGCUCCAGCCCACAGAAAGAGUAUCUGUAAUAUUCAGGAAAUUAUGCCCUUCUCCUUGGCUGGGCUCAUCCCGAGAUCAAGCUGUAAAGGUACAUCCUACCGUGCAGAGCUUGUCUUUUGGCAGAAAGAGAGAGAGGAGACAGAAACAGCCCAGAGCCCACAGACAAAGGGAACACCAGGAGCCAUUCUGCAGGCAGAGGCUGCUCUGCUCUUGGCCACGUUCACAUGGAUAAAGGAGACCAAGUCAGAGCCUGCAAAGCUGCGCAGUGAUAAGAAAAAAAUAUUAUAAUGCUGUUCUGCAGGCUGGGCUGGGCCGUGAUUAUAUGGCAGUUCGUCCAGCACGGUUCCCCAGGGCCAAGAUGCAGUUAGUAACCCUUCACUUAGACUCCUGGCUUCUCUGCAGAGCCACAAGAGCAGCUGAUAACACCCUGGCAGCCCCAGCCGUGGGCAGUUUUGUGCGGCGCAAUGGUGAGCCGAGCAUCUAGUUGGGCUGCUUGUCCUUUGGGAGGAGGCCGGGCCAGCAGCGCAGCACGGCGAGAGAUGAUGGCAAUGUCCCUGCUCUGGUGUGGAUCCACCUUUUGGUCCUGGGCAAGUCAGCCAGCUGCUGCCUCAGUCCCAGGAGGCAUCAGGAGGAUUUUUGCUGCCAGGACGUCAGCGCCCAAGGAAGGCGAGUCCCGAUGGCAAAGCUGGAGCAAAGCUGGCGGUGGUGGCCAGCUCUUGGG
rnacentral:lncRNA from 1 species